ACAUUGUUUGUGUUUACUCCUAUUGAGACAUUACCACGGUCUCGUCGUAGUACAACCUGUCAGGAAAAGUGCUCAGAAGAAAGAAUUGAAUCAGAAACUGAAUGCAAAACAGACUUCAAAACAAACAGAACACAAUUUUUAAACUGUUCCAGGGAUAAUACCAUAGAAUAUAAUGAAUGCUUAAGUGAAUGCAGUCCAGAAAGCACUUCUCCUCCUGAAGAAGUGGCCAACACUGGAAUGUCUUGUAGUUUUUUCUGUACUCGUGAACAUUUAAGGUGUCAGGGAAUAUGUCGAUUGCACCCCUUCCAGGAUGAAUGGGACAGGAAAGAGUGUACUAGAGAAUGUGAACAUGAAACAGAAGUGUGCAAGAAAAGCUGCGAGGACAGUGGGAAAGCUUGACAUUGGAUCAAGCUAAUCAAGUCUUCUCAAAAACUCUGAAUUUCUUCCGUUAAUUUUUUCCACGUCGUAGUUUUGGAUGGAUGUGUAUAUUGUAAGUUUCGAGGUGAAUUUAUUUAUUCUUAUCAGAAUAAAAGUUAUGAAACUCUC
rnacentral:sRNA from 1 species